GCAAGCCGCUGAGCCCAUCUCCGGCACAAAAGGACCGAGCCGCGGGAACCCGUGGCUCGGUCCUUUUUUCCUGGCGGCAGCGCGGGAG
rnacentral:pre_miRNA from 1 species